rnacentral:rRNA from 1 species
GACGAACGCUGACAGAAUGCCUAACACAUGCACGUCACUGUGUGGCGGACGGGUGAGUAAAGCGUAAAGAAAUUGCCUCCCAGCUAGGGACAACAUCUGGAAAAGAACGCUAAUACCUAAUACUGUGAGAGAGCUGUGCGUCCCUUGAGCUAGUUGGAGAGGUAACGGCUCACCAAGGCGAUGAUGGGUUGCCGGCCUGGGAGGGUGAUCGGCCUCCAGGGGCCUGGGAGGCGGCCCUUAGGCCUACGUGGGGCAGCAGUGGAGAAUAUUGGACAAUGGACCAAGGUCUGAUUCAGCUAUUCGGUGUGCACGAGGAAGUUUUCGGAAUGUAAAGUGCUUUCAGUUAGGAAGCGGUACCAACAGAGGAAGUGACGGCUAAAUACGUGCCAGCAGCCGCGGUAAUAC